rnacentral:tRNA from 1 species
GGGUGUAGCUCAGCGGUAGAGCACUAGCACUUGCACUUGCCUAGCAAACGGGAGGUCCUGGGUUCCAUCCUCAGCACCACA